ACCCCAGUUCAGGCGAGGAUACCCGCUGAGUUUAAGCAUAUCAAUAAGCGGAGGAAAAG
rnacentral:rRNA from 1 species